rnacentral:rRNA from 1 species
GACGAACCGUGCAAACGUUAUUCUGAAUCACUGGGCAUAAAGGGCGCGUAGGCGGCUUCAUAAGUCAGGGGUGAAAUCCGGCAGCUUAACUGUCGCAGUGCCUUUGAUACUGUGGAGCUCGAGGGAGGUAGGGGUCUGUGGAACUUCCGGUGGAGCGGUGAAAUGCGUUGAUAUCGGAAGGAACGCCGGUGGCGAAAGCGACGGACUGGAUCUCUUCUGACGCUGAGGCGCGAAAGCCAGGGGAGCAAACGGG